rnacentral:lncRNA from 1 species
UCGAUGAAAGCCGCGACCACGACCACGAGGCCGCAACAACGCCACAGUACCACGCUAAUGUGCUCGUCAACUUUUACGAGAUCGUGCCGGCUAAUACGCUAGAAAGUCUCUCGACGGUUAAUGGGUCCGACCAACGAAACACAGAAAAGGAACACGGUAAAUGCCUGCUUUGAGUAUUCGUACGUCCUUAAUUGCUCGUUUUUGCACUACGAUUUAGCCGUAGGAUCGAAGGUAACGUUCGUAGAAAUCCAACGUUUCAACCGAGUGUGUGAAACGCCUUCUCAAGUCUACGAAUUUCGACAAUUUCGACCGUCGUCGUUUUACGAAACAUUCGGCCGCGUGAUUUAUCACGGUGCAUAUAGUUGAACAUAGGGGACAUUAAUUGCCAUUUUUAAUCGGCCUCGCACUAUGUUCACGAGGUAUGCCGUAAUAUCAUUCUACCAGGUGAAGUGCUUUCUUGAUGGGAUUCGUUCCGGUGUUUCGAAAUUUGCGAUGAUCACUGGUCGUUCAUUAUGCUUCAAAAAUUCCCGUGGUUUCGACUUGGCGUGACGAAAGAAACAACAUUCUACUCUGCUCUGUACUCACGUGUCAACUAAUUCUUUAUAAGCCAUAAACCACUCUAAGAAUAAAAUGACGGCAGUGGCAUUUAACCGACUACUCGAAAGUAUGCGGUACCUUGCAAAGAUUUUGAACCACGCGAGGAAAGAAACUAUUCUCACACCGAUGACUCAUCCUUGCAUUUCGAUCGUCAAAUUACGAAAGCCUUGGCCGGCUAAGAUGUCAAAACGUCGUUCGAUCGACGAGGAUGAGCUCGACCGAUUCUCAAGGCGUUUUAUUUUCGUUGCGUAAAUAGACCUUCGGACAUCCUGAACGCAGAAAUCGAGCCGCUGUUGAAUGUGCAGCGAGUGCCACAACGGGUCGGCCAGCUCUGCUCGCGUAUAUGGUAUCCACGCACGAUCGGAAUUUUCCGAUAGCCACCAAGCGGCGAUUUAUGGACGCGCGAGGAAACGGACGCGAGCCGUUAUACACGGCCUCGAGUCGAACCUGGAAAGGGGAGGCUCGACAUUCGAAGCCUAUGCUCAAUAUCUGCUUGUAUUAUAUCGCUGGCAGCUGCGGCCGCAAACCGAUCAACUGCAAGGAAACCGAGGGUGCCUUCUUAAGGACUCGAAUGCUUCUACUUGCUUACAAAUCCUUGCUUCAGGUUUCAAGAUCGCUGAGAUUUUCGAUUAUUAUAAUUUUUCGUUCGAUAUCAUCGAAACCGAAUGCUGAACGCAACGUAUCAGCAAGUGUAUUAACCAUCCGCGUUUUCAUCCACAAAACCAGUAUGAAUCUGUUCGACGAAUCAGCCUGAAGCUACCAGAGAAAACUACCAUAGAAAAUAAAUCGUAUAGCAAAGUGACCACAUAUUUAUCUCGGAGAAGAGUCACAUAUGGUGCCCCAUUGAACGUUACAAACAUGUAUGCCCACGAGACCCGCGGCACGGCUCCGACAAAUUGCCAAUCGGCAGUCAGCGAACGGGUGCUCCUCGAGCAGAGAAGUGUUCUCGCGGCGUUUCGAGCGACGAACACGGUGACUAUAGGACAACGAUGCCCCGGGGCAAGGACUACGGGUUGCGACCCCAAUCGCAUUCGGACUCCGCUUUGUGCAGGUGUGCGUGGUCAUUAAUCCAGAAAUGGAAGUGAAUGCGGGUCCAAAUGCUAGCCAGAAGCAGACUGGAGCGCAGCGUCGUUGCACGCUUGUCUCUUCUUUUCCUUUAUAUCCUUCUUGCGACGCUUUUUUCUCUCGUAGUUGGUGAUACACUUAAUAAAGAAGAGGCGUGGCCCGUGCCCCAGACCGAACUAUUUCGCGGUCCCAAACGGUUUAAACGCGCUAUAUCGCGUGGCUAUUUUACGCGAGCAAACGUAACAACUUUUUACCGCUGCCUAAGUAACUGCUAGUUCUCCGGUGGCCAUUAAGGUCUCAUAGGAUCGUUUCGGGAACCAGUCCUUUUUUUGCGUCGUACCGUUUCGGGGCACGGGCUAUCGGAACAAGGUAAUUCCGCGCGUUCUACGACCGCGUUAAGCGCAAGGAGUACUACAAUCUGUUCCAUACAUUCUCGAAAUGCUCUUCUUUUUUACAAUAUUACCAUCUCUAUUUGAUAUUUACACGAAACGUAAUGAAAUUUGUAAAAAAGAUUCACUCGUCGAGUUAAAUGCACCUGCAGGCUUUUAAUAAUCGUAGAAGCAAAAGAUCUAAAUCCUGUCACUUUCAAUAAUUAGCUGAAAUUAAUCUUUCGUACAGCAUAGAAAUAUUUGCAUAUUCUUGUAUUUAUUACAAUAUUCAAUGAAGUCCAAAUAUAUGAAAUUUUCUA